rnacentral:rRNA from 1 species
UACGGGGGGGAGCAAGCGUUGUUCGGAUUUACUGGGCGUAAAGGGCGCGUAGGCGGCCAGCACAAGUCAGUUGUGAAAUCUCCGGGCUUAACUCGGAAAGGUCAACUGAUACUGUGCGGCUAGAGUGCAGAAGGGGCAACUGGAAUUCUCGGUGUAGCGGUGAAAUGCGUAGAUAUCGAGAGGAACACCUGCGGCGAAGGCGGGUUGCUGGGCUGACACUGACGCUGACAGCGCGAAAGCUAGGGGAGCGAACGGG